UGUCCGUGAUGAUAAAUCCAAAGGCUUGUUUCUCAAAGAACAUUCGCAGUGGCCGACUGAGAGCUUUCGCCUCUCGCCGGGCUCGAGAGCUUCUGCUGCUCUUAUCCUUCCUUGGAUGUCUGAGACA
rfam:Punica granatum cultivar Dabenzi scaffold90, whole genome shotgun sequence.